rnacentral:rRNA from 1 species
CGUGGGUAACCUGCCUUAUAGUGGGGGAUAGCCUUUCGAAAGGAAGAUUAAUACCGCAUAAGAUUGUAGUAUCGCAUGAUAUAGCAAUUAAAGGAGCAAUCCGCUAUAAGAUGGACCCGCGUCGCAUUAGCUAGUUGGUGAGGUAAUGGCUCACCAAGGCGACGAUGCGUAGCCGACCUGAGAGGAUGACCAGCCACACUGGAACUGAGACACGGUCCAGACUCCUACGGGAGGCAGCAUG